UGGGGAAUAUUGGACAAUGGGCGCAAGCCUGAUCCAGCCAUGCCGCGUGAGUGAUGAAGGCCUUAGGGUUGUAAAGCUCUUUUGUCCGGGACGCGGUACCGGAAGAAUAAGCCCCGGCUAACUUCGUGCCAGCAGCCGCGGUAAUACGAAGGGGGCUAGCGUUGCUCGGAAUCACUGGGCGUAAAGGGCGCGUAGGCGGCCAUUCAAGUCGGGGGUGAAAGCCUGUGGCUCAACCACAGAAUUGCCUUCGAUACUGUUUGGCUUGAGUAUGGUAGAGGUUGGUGGAACUGCGAGUGUAGAGGUGAAAUUCGUAGAUAUUCGCAAGAACACCGGUGGCGAAGGCGGCCAACUGGACCAUUACUGACGCUGAGGCGCGAAAGCGUGGGGAGCAAACAGGAUUAGAUACCCGAGUAGU
rnacentral:rRNA from 1 species